rnacentral:rRNA from 1 species
CACGUAGGGUGCGAGCGUUGUCCGGAAUUAUUGGGCGUAAAGAGCUCGUAGGCGGUGUGUCGCGUCGGCCGUGAAAACCUGUGGCUUAACUGCGGGCUUGCGGUCGAUACGGGCAUCACUGGAGUUCGGCAGGGGAGACUGGAAUUCCUGGUGUAGCGGUGAAAUGCGCAGAUAUCAGGAGGAACACCGGUGGCGAAGGCGGGUCUCUGGGCCGAUACUGACGCUGAGGAGCGAAAGCGUGGGGAGCGAACAGG